GUUAUUUUCUUUUGGUUUAGUACCUUUUGCAUCAUGAUUUACUGAUGGUUGUUAUGUAAUUAGCUUCCCGAAAGGUAGUGAUUUAAUAUUGAUUUGUUUGGAACUUUGUGAGAGUGUGCGGGUAGCGCUUCUUAAAAUUAAUAUUGGGUGUGAUAAAUAAUACGUACUACCUUAUAGCUGGUUUCUGAAUCAUUUUCUCGUACUAUCCUUACUGCUAUGAUGUGGUUAGGUUCUUAAGAGACUUGUUUUUAUUUAUUAUACUAUGGGGUUAAAAGUACCUUUUUGUAGUGUUUGUGUUAUAACAUGUUA
rnacentral:rRNA from 1 species